rnacentral:rRNA from 1 species
GCGGCGGACGGGUGAGUAAUGCCUAGGAAUCUGCCUAGUGGUGGGGAUAACGUUCGGAAACGGACGCUAAUACCGCAUACGUCCUACGGGAGAAAGCGGGGAUCUUCGGACCUCGCGCCAUUAGAUGAGCCUAGGUCGGAUUAGCUAGUUGGUGAGGUAAUGGCUCACCAAGGCGACGAUCCGUAACUGGUCUGAGAGGAUGAUCAGUCACACUGGAACUGAGACACGGUCCAGACUCCUACGGGAGGCAGCAGUGGGGAAUAUUGGACAAUGGGCGAAAGCCUGAUCCAGCCAUGCCGCGUGUGUGAAGAAGGUCUUCGGAUUGUAAAGCACUUUAAGUUGGGAGGAAGGGCAGUAAGUUAAUACCUUGCUGUUUUGACGUUACCAACAGAAUAAGCACCGGCUAACUUCGUG